rnacentral:rRNA from 1 species
GUGUGUGACCGCGUGCCUUUUGCAUAAUGAGUCUGCGAGUUACUCCUGUAUGGCAAGGUUAAGAUUAAAUCGGAGCCAUAGCGAAAGCAAGUGUUAAUAGCGCGUUAUAAGUCGUACGGGGUAGACCCGAAACCGAGUGAUCUAUCCAUGGUCAGGCUGAAGUUUUGAUAAAACAAAAUGGAGGGCCGAACUAGUGUAUGUUGAAAAAUACUUAGAUGAACUGUGGAUAGGGGUGAAAGGCCAA